rnacentral:rRNA from 1 species
CCUACGGGAGGCAGCAGUGAGGAAUAUUGGUCAAUGGGCGGGAGCCUGAACCAGCCAAGUCGCGUGAGGGAAGACGGUCCUAUGGAUUGUAAACCUCUUUAGGCGGGGAGCAAUGCCGGGCACGCGUGCCCGGAGGGAGAGUACCCGCAGAAUAAGCAUCGGCUAACUCCGUGCCAGCAGCCGCGGUAAUACGGAGGAUGCGAGCGUUAUCCGGAUUUAUUGGGUUUAAAGGGUGCGUAGGCGGAUUUUUAAGUCAGCGGUAAAAUGUCCGGGCUCAACCCGGGCCGGCCGUUGAAACUGGGGAGCUUGAGUGGGCGAGAAGUAGGCGGAAUGCGUGGUGUAGCGGUGAAAUGCAUAGAUAUCACGCAGAACUCCGAUUGCGAAGGCAGCAUACCGGCGCCCGACUGACGCUGAGGCACGAAAGCGUGGGGAUCGAACAGGAUUACAUACCCCUGUAGUC